GGUUAGCAUUGUUCAUGUAUUUAAGGGUAUAUCUAGGUUACUGAUAGGAAAUUGGGCUGGUAAAUGGAUACAGAGACGGUAUUCUUAGUCUGCAAGUUAUUGCUUCCAGCCAGGAAUUUGUUGUUCUACUAGUUGCUUCCAGACAGGAGUUUGUUGUUUUAAUCACAUCCUUGAAUGUGUCAAAAGAAAGCAUUUGUGCUAAAACUUCUUUUGUUACACCUGAUGGGAUAAAAUGAAAAAAGUGGAAAUUCAUAUGAUUUUAAAACCACAUUUAUGAAGGUGAAAUGCCUCCGUGGCAUUCACUUGAUACAUUCAAGAAUGUGAUUCCAGCGCUUAUAUUUGAACAGAUGUAAUUCUAGCAUUUGUUCUUGCCUUUUACCUAUGCAAUGUAUUUUGGUGGCCUUGUGUGCAGGGGUAAUUUCUGAGGUAGUAUGCCUCCAUGGUAUUCAUUUUGGCUUGUGGGUUUGGAGCUGGUUUUCAUUAAUUUUCUAGAAACACACUCUUCUCCUAACUGCCCAAACCACUUGUAGUCCUCUUUUGGUCUUAAAAUAUGAUGCAAACUGAUAAUGCUCUUAGUUGCCAUAAAAUGCUGUAGCAGUUCAUUAGAUUGCCUUCUUCCGGG
rnacentral:misc_RNA from 1 species